AAUAUAUACAAUGAAGAGUUUGAUCCUGGCUCAGGAUGAACGCUAGCGGCAGGCUUAACACAUGCAAGUCGAGGGGCAGCGGGUAUGUUAGCAAUAACAUAUGCCGGCGACCGGCGCAAGGGUGCGUA
rnacentral:rRNA from 1 species